rnacentral:misc_RNA from 1 species
AACGCACCUUGCGCCCUUUGGUAUUCCGAAGGGCAUGCCUGUUUGAGUGUCAUUAAAUUCUCAACUUCAAAGGGCUUUGUUGCCUCUCUGAAGCUUGGAUUAUGGAGGUCUUAAAUUGCCGGCUUCACAGUCAGCUCCUCUUAAAUGCAUUAGCGGAACUUUUUUGAUGAACCUUUUAAAAGGGGACCAGCUUUGGCUUGAUAAUAUUAUCUAUGCUAUUGUUGUGAGAACCUAUGGUUUGUUAUGUUCAGCUUCUAAUGGUCCUUUGGACUGUCUCUCUUGAGGCAUACACUCUUUAAGCUUGACCUCAAAUCAGGUAGGAUUACCCGCUGAACUUAA